rnacentral:rRNA from 1 species
UACAGAGGUGGCAAGCGUUGUUCGGAAUUACUGGGCGUAAAGGGCGCGUAGGCGGCCUUCUAAGUCGGACGUGAAAGCCCCAGGCUUAACCUGGGAACUGCGUCCGAUACUGGGAGGCUUGGAUUCGGGAGAGGGAUGUGGAAUUCCAGGUGUAGCGGUGAAAUGCGUAGAUAUCUGGAGGAACACCGGUGGCGAAGGCGGCACCCUGGACCGAGAUCGACGCUGAGGCGCGAAAGCUAGGGGAGCAAACGGG